rnacentral:rRNA from 1 species
AGCAGCCGCGGUAAUUCCAGCUCCAAUAGCGUAUAUUAAAGUUGUUGCAGUUAAAAAGCUCGUAGUUGAAUUUCGGGGUCAGUAGGUCGGUCGUGCCACUGGUAUGAACUGGUUUUACUGAUUCCUCCCUCUUGAAGAACUGUAAUGCCAUUAACUUGGUGUUGCAGGGAAUCAGGACUGUUACUUUGAAAAAAUUAGAGUGUUUAAAGCAGGCUUUAGCUUGAAUACAUUAGCAUGGAAUAAUGAAAUAGGACGUUUGAUCCUAUUUUGUUGGUUUCUAGGAUUGACGUAAUGAUUAAUAGGGAUAGUUGGGGGCAUUAGUAUUCAAUUGUCAGAGGUGAAAUUCUUGGAUUUAUUGAAGACUAACUACUGCGAAAGCAUUUGCCAAGGAUGUUUUCAUUAAUCAAGAACGAAAGUUAGGGGAUCGAAGACGAUCAGAUACCGUCGUAG